GCCUACGGCCAUACCACCCUGAGAACUCCCAAUCUCAUCUGAUCUCGGAAGCUAAGCAGGGUUGGGCCCGGUUAGUACUUGGAUGGGAGACCGCCUUGGAAUACCAGGUGCUGUAGGCU
rnacentral:rRNA from 1 species